UACGAGGGGGGCGAGCGUUGUUCGGAAUUAUUGGGCGUAAAGGGUGCGUAGGCGGUUCCGCAAGUCCUGUGUGAAAUCUUCGGGCUCAACUCGAAGUCUGCACGGGAAACUGCGGGGCCUGAGUGUGGGAGAGGUGAGUGGAAUUCCCGGUGUAGCGGUGAAAUGCGUAGAUACCGGGAGGAACACCUGUGGCGAAAGCGGCUCACUGGACCAUAACUGACGCUGAUGCACGAAAGCUGGGGGAGCAAACAGG
rnacentral:rRNA from 1 species